rnacentral:lncRNA from 1 species
ACUCAAUCGACACGUUCAACGUUCAAAAAUGUUACAUGAAGAAUAAAGGGUCAAAAGACAGAACACCUGACCUUGGCCAAAUGAAAAUAAUAGAUAGUCCCAAAAUGACAUGCAACACAGAAAAUUAAAUACACCGAUAAGCACAUACAUGUAUUAAAAGCGGGAAGAUCUCAGGUGCUCAGUUGCCCCAAAAUUAAAAAAAGAUAUAAUUUUGCCCAC